AACCAUAUAUACAUUAUCUGGACCAAGGAAACACCUAAUAGAGACCAACCCUAGUGAGAGAUGGCUUCAUUCACUCAUUUCUUCUUGAUAUUCCUCAUUUUAUCAGCUGUAUCACUGGUGCAUCAUGCAGAAGCACAAAAGAGAUGCCAAGAGCAGUUGUAUCCAAAGGGCUGUGCACUUAAUGAUUGUGGCAAAAAAUGCUUUGACAAGCACAAGCAGAUGAGCGGGGUAUGCAUCCAAAACAGAAGCAUGACGGACCAUGCUUGCUACUGCAUUUGGAACUGCUAGCAUCAUUCUCUUUGGUUUUUGUUUCUAAUGAGCAAAUGAAUAAAAACAAGUCCCUCCAGUUCAGAUGUUGAAACA